UGAAACUAAUUUAGCGUGAGAAUCUAGGACGGUUGUUUUAGCUCCAGCAAUAGCUCCGCCUGCACCUGAAAAAUCCCAAAAUCAAUUAGCUGCGGUUUUAAAUCCCUAGAAGCAAAAAUAAUUGAAAAUAUAAACACAUAAUCUAAUUAAAUUGAAUAUAAUACACAUACCCGAUGCAACAAGAUGAGGAAGAAAAGAGGCGGAGGACGGAUAAAACCAAGAAUACGAAAUAAUGAAGAGUCGGACAGGCGGAGAACGACGAAAGAUUCGGUGCCGGAAGAUGACUAGGCGACGAAAAGGAUGACACGGUGAGUGAACUUUGACGGCAAUUAUGUCUGACGGCGAGUGUUUUUUGGUCGGGGAAGAAAAAAUUGCCUCGUGUCUUUGCUUUUAUGUCGAUUAAGACUUUUUGUUAUAAGGUUAUUUGGAAAUCUGUUCGACAACACUAUAUCAAACAAUUUGUGUUUAAAAAGUUUGUGUUUAAAGAAUUUGUAUUUUUAGGGUAAAACUAGAUUUUUAUUAGUGAAAAU
rnacentral:lncRNA from 1 species